rnacentral:tRNA from 1 species
AAAGUUAUAGUCUAACUACGAUUUAUGAUUUGCACUCAUAAGAUGUUCAUAUUGAACUAACUUUA